CGUCUAGGCGGGCCAGCCAGUCAGGUGUGAAACCCCCGGCUCAACCGGGGAUCUGCACUUGAUACUGCUGGUCUUGAGUACGGAAGAGGAAGGCGGAAUUCCUGGUGUAGCGGUGAAAUGCGUAGAUAUCAGGAAGAACACCGGUGGCGAAGGCGGCCUUCUGGUCCGAUACUGACGCUAAAGCGCGAAAGUGUGGGGAGCAAACA
rnacentral:rRNA from 1 species